GUUGUCCGGAUUUAUUGGGCGUAAAGCGAGCGCAGGCGGUUAGAUAAGUCUGAAGUUAAAGGCUGUGGCUUAACCAUAGUACGCUUUGGAAACUGUUUAACUUGAGUGCAAGAGGGGAGAGUGGAAUUCCAUGUGUAGCGGUGAAAUGCGUAGAUAUAUGGAGGAACACCGGUGGCGAAAGCGGCUCUCUGGCUUGUAACUGACGCUGAGGCUCGAAAGCGUGGGGAGCAAACAGGAUUAGGUACCCUGGUAGUCCACGCCGUAAACGAUGAGUGCUAGGUGUUAGACCCUUUCCGGGGUUUAGUGCCGUAGCUAACGCAUUAAGCACUCCGCCUGGGGAGUACGACCGCAAGGUUGAAACUCAAAGGAAUUGACGGGGGCCCGCACAAGCGGUGGAGCAUGUGGUUUAAUUCGAAGCAACGCGAAGAACCUUACCAGGUCUUGACAUCCCUCUGACCGCUCUAGAGAUAGAGCUUUCCUUCGGGACAGAGGUGACAGGUGGUGCAUGGUUGUCGUCAGCUCGUGUCGUG
rnacentral:rRNA from 1 species